AUACGUAGGGGGCAAGCGUUGUCCGGAGUGACUGGGCGUAAAGGGCGCGUAGGCGGCUAAAAAAGUCAGGUGUAAAAGGCACCGGCUCAACCGGUGAUAAGCAGCUGAAACUAGGUAGCUAGAGUACAGGAGAGGAGAUCGGAAUUCCUGGUGUAGCGGUGAAAUGCGUAGAUAUCAGGAAGAACACCAGUGGCGAAGGCGGAUCUCUGGACUGGGACUGACGCUGAGGCGCGAAAGCGUGGGUAGCAAACAGGAUUAGAUACCCUGGUAGUCCACGCCGUAAACGAUGGAUACUAGGUGUAGGCGAGAAAACGUCUGUGCCGGAGUCAACGCAAUAAGUAUCCCGCCUGGGGAGUACGGCCGCAAGGCUGAA
rnacentral:rRNA from 1 species